CUGACAGUAACAUUAGGAAUAAUUAGCAGAUAACGUCACUACCUUUAAUCACCACCCCCAAUCCCGUUCUUAUUCCCAAACCGUAAACCAAAGCAAAAAAUCACCAUCACCACCACGGAUGGCAAAACUCAAAACAAUCCGUUACCUUCUCGCCCACAUUCGUGGUUUCAUUUGAUUCCAAGCAAAAUCAGCUGUUACUUUAUAUCAACUUAGCUCUCCCUACAUAUGAAGAAAAACCAGAUUUGAGUAAAGGAUUCUCCAUAUGUGCAUCUGUUGAAGGUAUCAAGUAAACACAUGCAAUAUAAUUCUUUUUAACCGUUAAUUACUCCAGCGUACUGCUAUAAACCUUCAUUUUGCAAUUUCACAAAUUUGCCAUUGUUAAGUAGCUCUGAUAAAUGAACCAAACUUUGGUUCAAAUCACGAUACAUUUUACCAAAUAAAUAUUUAUAAUAUUUAAAUUUAUAAAACAUUUCAUCCUGAGACAUGCCAGAGAAGAAGCGGAUUGAUGGAAAAUUACAUUCCACGAGCAACUUAUUAAGCUCCGCUGCUCUGUUCACGCUCUUGACAAAGAUAACGUCUUGAUUAAAGUCCAGUGCAUCCAACAAGUCAUUUAGCUACCAAUUCUUCUACAGCUUGCUCAAUUUUAUAUUUGUCGGUAAAUUGAGGGAGAAGGUAAGGGAUUGUUUCUGGGUUUUGCCAUCUGUAGUGCUAGCAGUACUGGUGGUUUGUGGUGGUGACUUUGUUAGGUGGUAGUCAUUUUUGCUUUGAUUUGCACUUUAGGGGUAAGGAUGGGUUGAGUGGAGGGGAAUGAGGAAGAAGAUGAUGAUUGUCCUUUUCAUUUUCUUCUUCUUUUUAUUUUUGAUUUUUGAUUUUUUAAUAAUUUAUCUGGGCCGUUUGUAUUUUUGUAAAACAUUAGUCUCAUGCUCGUGCAUUGUGUUUUUUCUUAAGGUAAUAUUAGUGUAUG
rnacentral:lncRNA from 1 species